UACGUAGGGGGCGAGCGUUGUCCGGAUUUAUUGGGCGUAAAGAGCUCGUAGGCGGUUUGAUAAGUCGGGGGUGAAAUCCCGGGGCUCAACCUCGGAAUUGCCUUCGAUACUGUUAGUCUUGAGUCUGGGAGAGGUGAGUGGAAUUCCUAGUGUAGAGGUGAAAUUCGUAGAUAUUAGGAAGAACACCAGUGGCGAAGGCGGCUCACUGGCCCGGUACUGACGCUCAUGUGCGAAAGCGUGGGGAGCAAACAGG
rnacentral:rRNA from 1 species